rnacentral:rRNA from 1 species
ACCCUUUAAUGUUUGAUGUUCUAACGUGGACCCGUGAUCCGGGUUGCGGACAGUGUCUGGUGGGUAGUUUGACUGGGGCGGUCUCCUCCUAAAGAGUAACGGAGGAGCACGAAGGUUGGCUAAUCCUGGUCGGACAUCAGGAGGUUAGUGCAAUGGCAUAAGCCAGCUUGACUGCGAGCGUGACGGCGCGAGCAGGUGCGAAAGCAGGUCAUAGUGAUCCGGUGGUUCUGAAUGGAAGGGCCAUCGCUCAACGGAUAAAAGGUACUCCGGGGAUAACAGGCUGAUACCGCCCAAGAGUUCAUAUCGACGGCGGUGUUUGGCACCUCGAUGUCGGCUCAUCACAUCCUGGGGCUGAAGUAGGUCCCAAGGGUAUGGCUGUUCGCCAUUUAAAGUGGUACGCGAGCUGGGUUUAGAACGUCGUGAGACAGUUCGGUCCCUAUCUGCCGUGGGCGCUGGAGAACUGAGGGGGGCUGCUCCUAGUACGAGAGGACCGGAGUGGACGCAUCACUGGUGUUCGGGUUGUCAUGCCAAUGGCACUGCCCGGUAGCUAAAUGCGGAAGAGAUAAGUGCUGAAAGCAUCUAAGCACGAAACUUGCCCCGAGAUGAGUUCUCCCUGAGACUUAAAGUCUCCUGAAGGAACGUUGAAGACGACGACGUUGAUAGGCCGGGUGUGUAAGCGCAGCGAUGCGUUGAGCUAACCGGUAC